GGACCCGCACAAGCGGUGGAGCAUGUGGUUUAAUUCGAUGCAACGCGAAAAACCUUACCUACUCUUGACAUACUUGGGAGCUCUUGUAAUGAGAGUGUGCCUUAUGGAACCAAGAUACAGGUGCUGCAUGGCUGUCGUCAGCUCGUGUCGUGAGAUGUUCCGUUAAGUCGGAUAACGAGCGCAACCCUUACCCUUAUUUGCCAGCGAUUCGGUCGGGAACUAUAAGGGGACUGCCGGUGAUAAACCGGAGGAAGGUGAGGACGACGUCAAGUCAUCAUGGCCCUUACGAGUAGGGCUACACACGUGCUACAAUGGGAAAUACAGACGGACGCUAAGCCGCGAGGUGGUGCUAAUCCUAGAAAGUCGCCUCAGUUCAGAUUGGAGUCUGCAACUCGACUCCAUGAAGUCGGAAUC
rnacentral:rRNA from 1 species